rnacentral:rRNA from 1 species
GAUGAACGCUGGCGGCGUGCCUAAUACAUGCAAGUCGAGCGAACAGACGAGGAGCUUGCUCCUCUGACGUUAGCGGCGGACGGGUGAGUAACACGUGGAUAACCUACCUAUAAGACUGGGAUAACUUCGGGAAACCGGAGCUAAUACCGGAUAAUAUAUUGAACCGCAUGGUUCAAUAGUGAAAGACGGUUUUGCUGUCACUUAUAGAUUGAUCCGCGCCGCAUUAGCUAGUUGGUAAGGUAACGGCUUACCAAGGCAACGAUGCGUAGCCGACCUGAGAGGGUGAUCGGCCACACUGGAACUGAGACACGGUCCAGACUCCUACGGGGGGCAGCAGUAGGGAAUCUUACGCAAUGGGCGAAAGCGUGACGGAGCAACGCCGCGUGAGUGAUGAAGGUCUUCGGAUCGUAAAACUCUGUUAUUAGGGAAGAACAAAUGUGUAAGUAACUAUGCACGUCUUGACGGUACCUAAUCAGAAAGCCACGGCUAACUACGUG